CUCUUUUUGUCUUUCCUCUGUCCCUGCCUCUGUCUUGUUUUGUCUUUCCUCUGUCUCUGUCUCCGUCCCUGUCUCUGUCACUGUCUUGUUUUAUCUUUCCUCUGUCUCUGUCUCUGUCCCUGUCUCUGUCUCGUUUUGUCUUUCCUCUGUCUCUGUCCCUGUCUCUGUCUUGAUUAGUCUUUCCUCUGUCUCUGUCUCUGUCCCCAUCUCUGUCCCUGUCUCUGUCCCUGUCUCUGUCUCUGUCCUUGUCUCUGUCCCUGUCUCUGUCUCGUUUUGUGAACCCUCUGUCUCGGUCUCUGUCUCUGUCUUUGUCCCUGUCUCUGUCCCUGUCUCUGUCUCAUUUUGUCUUUCCUCUGUCUCUGUCUCAUUUUGUCUUUCCUCUGUCUCUGUCUCAUUUUGUCUUUCCUCUGUCUCUGUCUCGUUUUGUCUUUCCUCUGUCUCUUUUUGUCUUUCCUCUGUCCCUGCCUCUGUCUUGUUUUGUCUUUCCUCUGUCUCUGUCUCCGUCCCUGUCUCUGUCACUGUCUUGUUUUAUCUUUCCUCUGUCUCUGUCUCUGUCCCUGUCUCUGUCUCGUUUUGUCUUUCCUCUGUCUCUGUCCCUGUCUCUGUCUCGAUUAGUCUUUCCUCUGUCUCUGUCUCUGUCCCCAUCUCUGUCCCUGUCUCUGUCCCUGUCUCUGUCUCUGUCCUUGUCUCUGUCCCUGUCUCUGUUUCAUUUUGUGAACCCUCUGUAUCUGCCUUUGUCCCUGUCUCUGUCCCUGUAGCUGUCCAUGUCUCUGUUCCUUUCUCUAAGUCUCAUUUUGUCUUUCCUCUGUCUCUGUCUCAUUUUGUCUUUCCUCUGUCCCAGUCUGUCUCAUUUAGUCUUUCCUCUGUCUCUGUCCCCAUCUCCGUCCCUGUCUCCGUCUCCAUCCCCACGUCCGUCCCUGUCUCCAUCUCCAUCCCGUGUUCGUCCCUGUCUCUGUCCCUGUCUCUGUCCUUGUCUCUGUCCUUGUCUCUGUCCCUGUCUCAUUUUGUGAACCCUCUGUCUCUGUCCCUGUCUCUGUCCAUGUCCCUGUCCCUGUCUCAUUUUGUCUUUCCUCUGUCUCGUUUUAUCUUUCCUCUGUCCCUGUUUCUGUCUCAUUUUGUCUUUCCUCUGUCUCUAUCUCCAUCCCUGUCUCAUUUUGUCUUUCCUCUGUCUCUGGCCUUGUCUCUGUCUCUUUCUCUGUCCCUGUCUCUGACUCAUUUUGUCUUUCCUCUGUCUCUGGCCUUGUCUCUGUCUCUUUCUCUGUCCCUGUCUCUGACUCAUUUUGUCUUUCCUCUGUCUCUGUCCCUGUCUCUGUCUUGUUUAGUCUUUCCUUUGUCUCUGUCUUUGUCCGUCUCUGUCUUGUUUUGCCUUUUGUAUUUUCUCUGUCUCUGUCUCUGUGUUUUUUUGUCUUUCCUCUGUUUUAAGAUUAAUUUAUACCCUCUCCCAUUCUCUCUCUCCUUUUUCUUUUGUGCCUCUUUCUCACCACCCCCUCUCUUUCUACAUAUCAUGCUACCUCUGUGCUCAAUCUCUCUCUUUCUCUCACUCUUUCUGUCAUCUCUCCCUCACUCACUCACUUCCUUUCCACCC
rnacentral:lncRNA from 8 species